CCUCCAUGAUGAUUAGCCAUGCUAAUACCUAGGAAACUUUAGGUUUCCAAUGAGUUGAAAGAAAAAUGUCUGAGAGGC